UUGCAGCAGUCGCGAAAGCGUGACAAGGCUACCCCGAGUGUCGUCCGCUGAGGACGACCUUUCCACGCUGUAAGAAGGCAGAGGAAUAAGGAGAGGGCAAGUCUGGUGUCAGCCGCCGCGGUAAUACCAGCUCUCCGAGUGGUAGGGAUGAUUAUUGGGCUUAAAGCGUCCGUAGCUGGCCUUUCAAGUCUCUUGUUAAAUCCAGCGAUUCAAUCGUUGGACUGCGGGAGAUACUGUUAGGCUAGGGGGCGGGAGAAGCCGACGGUAUUUCCGGGGUAGGGGUAAAAUCCUAUAAUCCCGGGAAGACCACCAGUGGCGUAGGCAGUCGGCUAGCACGCGCUCGACAGUGAGGGACGAAAGCUGGGGUAGCGAACCGGAUUAGAUACCCGGGUAGUCC
rnacentral:rRNA from 1 species